rnacentral:lncRNA from 1 species
GCAUCAAUAAAACCUACCUUUUUGUAUUUCAGGAACGGAGAAGAUUUGGGUCAUUUGCAUCAAUCUCCAAGCAUUAACAAUGGUGCUCUGACCAUGGGCUUGAAGGAAUAACACAAGGACAUUUCCUGACUCAGCAUGGAGAAUAGAGGCUCUCAAGACAUCCAGCAAUGAAGUGGAGUUUGACCUCUGAUGGAUGAAAUCUGCUGGAAUGGAAGCUAAGCUCUUUGAAGAGGAGCAGGUGUCACCUUAUUUUAUAUAUGCCACAUGUCUGGGGACUUCAGAGGAGUCAAAAAAUGCAAAAGAUGAAACAAAGGUAGAAGAAUGUGAUUGCCAACUUGAGUUCCAUAAUGUUCUGCUUGAAUCCGAAUUGAGUUCUUCAUCUAUGUCACAGUUAGUAAGCUACACUGAGACAUCCUUGGAACCUAGCAGGGUUACAGGCCAUGUUACUGCUGCUGCUGAGCCUGAGGUAAGGCAUCUUUGUGGAAAAUUAUGGUAUUCUUCAGGGCACAAACCUAAGGACAGUCUUACACACCUGCCCUCACCUGAGGCAUUUUCCUCACUGCUCCUUCCAAGAGAAAGAUCAACUGAAAAAUCCGAGAGGGUUCAAGAGAUCAGAGUAAUAACACACAAACCAAGUGCGAUCACUUUUUCUGAUUUUGAAUUUUUAUCACAUAACACUAACUCUAAACUCCAUACUUGUGAGGUCACAGACACAGAGGCUUCUUCAUCUGAAGAGGAGGAGGAAGGUGAUGAUGAUGAUGACGUUUUUACAGAGCUGCCACUGUAUGGGGCAUUUUACAAUGGUCUUUAUAAAAGGACUAUUCUUCUUGGGAAACGAGAUAAAUGUGAGCAUAUCAGAAGCCAGUAUAUCUGUCAUUUAGAUGGCUGCAAUGAUCACACUGGAAAGAAAUUGAAUGACCAUGAAAAGGAAGAAAAACAAAUGGACAUGGUGACCCAACCAGAAAAAGGAUCUGAGUGGUCAGAGUCUAUGUCAUCUCUCAUGAAGAAACUGGAAGAAUUGAAUUUAGAUAUUGAAGAAGCUCUCAGUGCUGGCUCUUCUCCUUCCAGCACUCCUUCUACCAAAAAGCGCAAACAGCUGUGCCCUGUUAAAGUGGAGACAGGCCUUCUUCACAGAGAUCAUCAGAGAAAGGGAAUCUGUGGAAAUAAGAGGGCAGGCUACCAGGAUUUAGAUGGUUUGCCAAGCUCAGUGUCAACUGGAGCACGACCGAAAACUGAAUCUCCCACAGUUUCAGAUGGAUAGAGUAUUCUUCUUCUUCACUACUUCUCCUCCUCCUUCUC